rnacentral:rRNA from 1 species
UGCGAAGGGGGCUAGCGUUGCUCGGAAUCACUGGGCGUAAAGGGUGCGUAGGCGGGUCUUUAAGUCAGGGGUGAAAUCCUGGAGCUCAACUCCAGAACUGCCUUUGAUACUGAAGAUCUUGAGUUCGGGAGAGGUGAGUGGAACUGCGAGUGUAGAGGUGAAAUGCGUAGAUAUCUGGAGGAACAUCGGUGGCGAAGGCGACAUCCUGGACCGGUAUUGACGCUGAGGCGCGAAAGCCAGGGGAGCAAACGGG